CCUACGGGAGGCAGCAGUGAGGAAUAUUGGUCAAUGGACGAGAGUCUGAACCAGCCAAGCAGCGUGAAGGAUGAAUGUCCUAUGGGUUGUAAACUUCUUUUAUAAAGGAAUAAAACGAGGCACGUGUGCCUUUUUGCAUGUACUUUAUGAAUAAGGAUCGGCUAACUCCGUGCCAGCAGCCGCGGUAAUACGGAGGAUCCGAGCGUUAUCCGGAUUUAUUGGGUUUAAAGGGAGCGUAGAUGGGAUGUUAAGUCAGGUGUGAACGUUUGCGGCUCAACCGUACACUUGCAAUUGAUACUGGCAGUCUCGAGUACAGUAGAGGUAGGCGGAAUUCGUGGUGUAGCGGUGAAAUGCUUAGAUAUCACGAAGAACCCCGAUUGCGAAGGCAGCUUACUGAACUAUGACUGACGCUGAGGCGCGAAAGUGUGGGUAUCAAACAGGAUUAGAUACCCGUGUAGUC
rnacentral:rRNA from 1 species